UACGAAGGGGGCUAGCGUUGUUCGGAAUCACUGGGCGUAAAGGGCGCGUAGGCGGCCAUAUAAGUCGGGGGUGAAAGCCUGUGGCUCAACCACAGAAUUGCCUUCGAUACUGUAUGGCUCGGAGACCGGAAGAGGUAAGUGGAACUGCGAGUGUAGAGGUGAAAUUCGUAGAUAUUCGGAAGAACACCAGUGGCGAAGGCGGCUCACUGGCCCGGUACUGACGCUGAGACGCGAAAGCGUGGGGAGCAAACAGG
rnacentral:rRNA from 1 species